UGGGGAAAACAAUAAACUAUGGCAUCUCUGUGAGAGAACCCUGCUGCUUGAAAAUCAGUGAGCCUGAGGGUGUCAAACUGCUCCCAGGCCAGGGCUCCCACAGCGGUUAUCUGUCUGGAGUCACAUCAUCAUAACACAAAGACGGAGCACACAGAAUAAGACAGAGGAAAAGUUGUGUGUAACGUUCCUACACAAAGGGAUUAAUUCAUGUUUGUAUGCAAAUGCGAUUGCGAUUUUCUAAACUAAGGACCUGCCAAUCCCAGACCAUUUUUCAAUCCCCGCUACCGGGAUUAAAAAAAUGGUCAAUCCCGGGAUUGGUUUGUUUCCAGUGUCGUCAUAGUCGUCGCCCCGCACCACACACAGAAGAGACGCUAAGAACACCAACCGGAGGAUCGCCGAGCGCUAAGUGACGUCACCCGCUCACACCAUUCUUACCACCCAGCUCCACGUCUCUCACCGCUGGACGCAGCGGCGGGGAGACACUGACUCAACAACUCGCCACGGACAGCCGGGCUCCACCUGGCUGAGGAAUCCCGUGGCCGGGAGCAAGGUGCCACACACAAAAACAGCGCUUGUUUUAUACAUUUUUAUAAUUCCCCCUUUUUUCCAACAAGCAGCUCCAUCACAGCGCAGAAAACAUUUUUUCUCUAUAUAGGUAUUUUGAUGAGUUAUUCUUGCUAGGUAAGGAGUCAUGCUGUGGGACAAUAUAAUCCUUGUACUGUAUUAAAGCAUCAGGAUACAUCCAAGGAGGCGAUCAGGGAGCGGCACAUCUCCAGGGUAAAGUCCGGCAAGAGGGGAACUGCAGAAACACCAGUACAGAAAGAUGACACGCCAUUCCUGGACAGGGGUCCCCUAUACCCUCUCACUCCCACGUUACAGUAUUACAAUUAUGAAAUUAAUGGUCAACCAGGUGUAUGAACCAAGAGGCAGAACAGUGCAUUGCCAGGCCCCAUAGGAAAAUAGGGUAAGGGGCCUGGGGUUGCUGUUCUAGACUCCCAGGCCACCGCCAUGCUCUCAAUAAAGUAGAGCGGACUCUUCUGAGAAUGUGGGGUCUACUGCUUGCACCCAGUAUACAGAAGAGGCCUCUGGGCUACUGAUCUGAGAACAACGAGGGGGGGCUCUAGGAGAUAGGAGCUACCAAGCAUUGCUGAGUCUCCCUCAUUAUCCUACAUUCUGUGAGGAGCACUGCCACACAAGAUACAAUAAAGCUGCAAGAUGGCUGCGCCCCAGUGCUGGUGUCAUUGCCCAGGAGAGUGAGGGAAAACUGGGGAUUCAUCCAAUAAUAAUCUGUGAGGCUCCUACAGACACUCCCCUUGGACACCCUUUACCUGAUCAGCAGGUCACAGGGAAGGAUCACAGGAUCUUCCACAGCUCCCACAGACUUGGACAGACUCAUUCAG